rnacentral:rRNA from 1 species
GACGAACGCUGGCGGCGUGCCUAAUACAUGCAAGUUGAGCGAUGAAGAUUGGUGCUUGCACCAAUUUGAAGAGCAGCGAACGGGUGAGUAACGCGUGGGGAAUCUGCCUUUGAGCGGGGGACAACAUUUGGAAACGAAUGCUAAUACCGCAUAACAACUUUAAACAUAAGUUUUAAGUUUGAAAGAUGCAAUUGCAUCACUCAAAGAUGAUCCCGCGUUGUAUUAGCUAGUUGGUGAGGUAAAGGCUCACCAAGGCGAUGAUACAUAGCCGACCUGAGAGGGUGGUCGGCCACAGUGGGGCUGAGACACGGCCCAAACUCCUACGGGAGGCAGCAGUAGGGAAUCUUCGGCAAUGGACGAAAGUCUGAACGAGCAACGCCGCGUGAGUGAAGAAGGUUUUCGGAUCGUAAAACUCUGUUGGUAGAGAAGAACGUUGGUGAGAGUGGAAAGCUCAUCAAGUGACGGUAACUACCCAGAAAGGGACGGCUAACUACGUG